rnacentral:lncRNA from 1 species
GGCAAGUGUAACUUAUCGAUUCAUUCAUGUUCACAUUCCGUAAAGCAUACAUGAGUAUUAACAGAAUAUGUAUUACAUUGAUACCUUCGGCUUGCUUGAAGGUGCUGACAUGAGAAUGAUUACAAUCCAGCGUGAACAGUAUGGUACUACUGUUCAUCUAUUUAUAGGCAUGGGACACGGCCCAGAUAAAAUUACAUUUAUGUCCCUGACAUUUACUCAUUACCAUGACAUGAAACAUUAUGGACUAAACAGUCUUUUUUCCCUUUCAGCCAGCAUCAUCUUCAGUCUUCAUCACCAUUAUAAGACGAAGCUAAUGCUCUUUGGCAAUAGCUUCAACGUUCGUUUUUACCAUCUUCAGAUCACAUCUUCAUCCCGUAUGCCUUCAUUAUAGGGAAGAGCUUCCAUUCCAAAGACAAAGCUCUCUACAACAACCUAUAUCAUGCUGGAAACCAUUGGUUAAUCAUGUUUUUGAGGACCUUUGGAAUAGGGAGGCCCUCAACAGGCGUAUGGUUAGGUUAAUCAACAGAUUAUUCACAAGCACAAACCCUUCCAAAGAUUACAAGGCUUCAACAGGUUGCAAUAUAAAAAAAAUAGUAAAUCAGCAAAUCAAAAUGGUCAAUGCCAAAAUCCUUGCAAUGAUCAGGUUGCAGGUUUAUUAUCAGAUCAGCACAAGAGUAACUUAUAGUUCUCAAUUUCAGGUUGCAAGACAAGAAGUAUAUUUAAAGGAACAUGUAUAUUUUAGGUCUCAGCCUAAUCUGUUAUAGUAAUUCAAUUAUAAUUUUGUACAACCUUCUCCAUAGUAAGAAAUUAAAUUCUCUGCAAUGCACAGAUGUAAAGGACAUUUUUGGAUUAUUUCCAAUUCUAUCUACAUGAUGACAAAUCAGAGUGGGGUAUCGGGUACCUGGAAUGCAAGACUAGCCUUAGUGCACGAUGCGGCUACCGUGCUCCUGCGACAUGAACUUCUCCCCCUCCAGCGCACGAAUUGUGGGCCAUCCUCUCUCGCCAUCCUCGUCCAUAGACCACCGCACAAACAUGUGAGAGCGGGACGAUGCAGAGCGUGAAUAGACCAACGGCGAGCGGGGGAGGAGAUGACAGGAGACAAGACGAUAGAGUGGGUGCUCCCUGCGUUUGCCGUACUCACGCUCGGUGACUCCUCGUCACCGCAGCCACGGGUUAGUCCGCCUGCAUGUGGGGCGCUCGUAACCGCUGCUUCUCAGGACAAAAGGGGAAGCGGGGAGGAGGACAAACCGAUAGCUGAUCAGGUGGGCUUCGGCAACGAGACGCUGAGCGCCGGGCUGGAUCGGCCCCACCGCGAUGAUUUGACAUCGGUCGCUGUCUCCGCCUCACCAUCGGCCAUGAUGGUCAGUGGAUGAUAAUGAUCUUCCUCUAUAGCAGACCAUGUGGGAGGCGAAGGGAAAUCCGGGAGGGAUAACGACCGAUGGCGAUCUGCUAGGGUUUGGCUUAGGCGCGAGGGGAUGAGGGUAGAUGGUGAUCCGGGAGAAGAUGACGGUGGAUUAGAUUAGGGUUGCGAGCGGUUAGGGACGCUUGGGAUGAUUUGGGGGGCGAUGGGGUCUUAGGUGAAUUCAGUCAUGGACCACGUGGGUGUGAUCCAAGCGGGGUGCCGGUGUGGGACUGGUCAAUCACGUCGCAACUAAUGUGUUUUUGCGUAAAACAGAUACAAGACAUGCGUAAAUGUUUGUAUAACUAAUCGUAAAAUCUUCUCGGUGGUGUGUCUGGUUCAGUAGGUCGGG